GAUGAACGCUGGCGGCGUGCCUAAUACAUGCAAGUCGAGCGAAUGGAUUAAGAGCUUGCUCUUAUGAAGUUAGCGGCGGACGGGUGAGUAACACGUGGGUGACCUGCCCAUAAGACUGGGAUAACUCCGGGAAACCGGGGCUAAUACCGGAUAACAUUUUGAACCGCAUGGUUCGAACUUGAAAGGCGGCUUCGGCUGUCACUUAUGGAUGGACCCGCGUCGCAUUAGCUAGUUGGUGAGGUAACGGCUCACCAAGGCAACGAUGCGUAGCCGACCUGAGAGGGUGAUCGGCCACACUGGGACUGAGACACGGCCCAGACUCCUACGGGAGGCAGCAGUAGGGAAUCUUCCGCAAUGGACGAAAGUCUGACGGAGCAACGCCGCGUGAGUGAUGAAGGCUUUCGGGUCGUAAAACUCUGCUGUUAGGGAAGAACAAGUGCUAGUUGAAUAAGCUGGCACCUUGACGGUACCUAACCAGAAAGCCACGGCUAACUACGUGCCAGCCGUCGCCGUAA
rnacentral:rRNA from 1 species